UACGUAGGGGGCAAGCGUUGUCCGGAAUCAUUGGGCGUAAAGAGCGUGUAGGCGGCCCGGUAAGUCCGCUGUGAAAGUCCAGGGCUCAACCCUGGGAUGCCGGUGGAUACUGUCGGGCUCGAGUCCGGAAGAGGAGUGUGGAAUUCCUGGUGUAGCGGUGAAAUGCGCAGAUAUCGGGAGGAACACCGGUGGCGAAGGCGGUUCUCUGGGCCUGACCUGACGCUGAGGAGCGAAAGCGUGGGGAGCGAACAGG
rnacentral:rRNA from 1 species